UACGAAGGGGGCUAGCGUUGCUCGGAAUCACUGGGCGUAAAGCGCACGUAGGCGGCUUUUUAAGUCAGGGGUGAAAUCCUGGAGCUCAACUCCAGAACUGCCUUUGAUACUGAAAGCUUGAGUCCGGGAGAGGUGAGUGGAACUGCGAGUGUAGAGGUGAAAUUCGUAGAUAUUCGCAAGAACACCAGUGGCGAAGGCGGCUCACUGGCCCGGUACUGACGCUGAGGUGCGAAAGCGUGGGGAGCAAACA
rnacentral:rRNA from 1 species